AUUGAACGCUGGCGGCAUGCUUUACACAUGCAAGUCGAGCGGCAGCGCGGGGGCAACCCUGGCGGCGAGCGGCGAACGGGUGAGUAAUGCAUCGGAACGUACCCUGGAGUGGGGGGAUAACGCCGCGAAAGCGGCGCUAAUACCGCAUAUGCUCUGAGGAGGAAAGUGGGGGACCGCAAGGCCUCACGCUCUGGGAGCGGCCGAUGUCCGAUUAGCUAGUUGGUGGGGUAAAGGCUUACCAAGGCGACGAUCGGUAGCUGGUCUGAGAGGAUGAUCAGCCACACUGGGACUGAGACACGGCCCAGACUCCUACGGGAGGCAGCAGUGGGGAAUUUUGGACAAUGGGGGCAACCCUGAUCCAGCCAUGCCGCGUGAGUGAAGAAGGCCUCGG
rnacentral:rRNA from 1 species